rnacentral:rRNA from 1 species
AAUGAACGUUGGCGGCAUGGAUUAGGCAUGCAAGUCGAGCGAGAAGGGUUUUGAAGCUUGCUUUAGAACCCGGAAAGCGGCGCAAGGGAGAGUAACGAGUAGUUAUCUACCCCAAGGCCCGGAAUAGCUGCGGGAAACUGCAGGUAAUGCCGGAUAAUAUCCCCGGAUCAAAGGUGUGAUUCCGCCUUGGGAGGAGACUGCUUUGUUCUAGCUAGUUGGUAGGGUAAUGGCCUACCAAGGCUACGAUGCAUAGCGGGCGUGAGAGCGUGGCCCGUCUAACUGGGACUUAAACACUGCCCAGACACCUACGGGUGGCUGCAGUCGAGAAUCUUCGGCAAUGGGCGAAAGCCUGACCGAGCGAUGCCGCGUGCGGGAUGAAGGCCCUCGGGUUGUAAACCGCUGUCGUAGAGGAGAAAGGUCUGAUGAAGAAUCAGAUUUGAUCUAUUCUAGGAGGAAGUCGGGGCUAAGUUCGUGCCAGCAGCCGCCGUAAAAC